AAUGACUUGAACAUAUGAAUACAGUCAUUUUAGACACUUCCAAAAAUGUUGCAACAGAAAUUGAAAUACAAUUUUUAAAUAUAUGAAUUCUGUUUCCAUCUUUGUUGCCACAGUUUUGGAAGUGACUUUUCUGUUCUAAAUUAGGGGGAGUCACAAUAUUUUUGUCCAUAUAGUGAAUGCACAAGUCACUGGUGUUUGGUGAUGAGUUUUUGGCUCAAGGUUUGCAUUUAAAGUCUUACCAGAGGUGUUCAGUUGGGAUUAGGACUUUGCUUUCUGCACACCAGUAAAGUUCUUCCACACUGACUGAUUUGAAUCAUUUCUUUUUGAACCAUGACUUAUACACAGAGACAUUCUCAUGUUAGAAUAGUAAAGGGUCCUGUAAAAUUGGAAGCACACAAUUCCCUAGAAUAUCAUUAUAUGCUUCAAUAUUAAGAUUUGUACUCAUGGAAAUUACCAUAAACCUGUUCAUUAGAAGGGGGUGUACCAAUACUUUUGACAAUAUAGUGUAUUUUAACAUAAAAUUGUGUCAAAGAUUUUUGGUACACAUAAUUUUAAAGGAGUUACUUCCCUCGGGUUGCCGAUUAGUGGCCCCAAGAUGGAAAAACAAGACGCUACAGGAAUACUUUUGGUCCUGCGGCAAUUGAGGUUUUAUAUAAUAAGAAGAGAGAUGUUUUAGUAUAUGCAAUAGUUAGUUAAAUGCAAGAAGGGAUAUGCAUGUGUUUGGUGCAGCCUGUCAUGAUGUUAUUAACCGGUAUGUUUGUUGUAAAUGUUGUCUUGUAUGCGUUUUCUUUCUGCAAAACAAUUUUACCUGCGGGUACGAAAUGAAGAUACCUUGACCUAAAUUUAUUUUGGUUUUAUGGGAAUUACAUGUGUUUUGAACCAAGCUGUGUAAAUGAAUUAAAGUAAGUUUAAAAAAAAAAAAAAAAAAAAAUUGGUUCCCUGCGCAUGCGCAGUUGCGCACACAGUUGGUUUGGCGCCUUUCCAGUCAGCUUACUCGGUAUGAGACAAGUUGAACUUGAAGGGUUUCAUCUGUUUCAUCAUUCGACCAAUUUGCACAGUAAGUAAUAUUUCAUCUUAUGCAUUACUAUUUAUCACAAUAACUAGUUUGUUGACUGACUCAAAAGAAUAUAAAAUGCUCGGGUUUAGAACGCAUCUAUUGGACAAAUUUCAGCGACUAAUCAUACUUGGCGCGACUGCACUAAGGCCUAAUUUUACAGAUUUUAUGUCACGCAACGGAAUGUACUUUUAAGAUAUUUUUUGGAAAGAAUGUUGCUUUAUAAACGCCAAUAUGCUGCUUGUUCAUAAAGAAAGCUCCUAUUUAAAAAUUGCUUCAACGGUUCUGAGCUCCAGCCGUCAUCGGCCGUUUCCGCCGAGAACAGCUUUAACGUUACCCCCGUUAGUACCAGUAACGUUACAGCUGGGCGUUAUUAGCCGAGCGCCUGCCGUAUUUAGUGGCUGAAAAACACUGGUGACACACGGCCUACAUAAACACGCCAGUUUAGCGUGUGUUUAUAUAGAAAAACAAUUGAAUGGACAACGCGUUCUGUGUGAAAGGCCUCUAAUCGUUACAUCUGCAUGUUACCAAAAAAAUAAAACUUUAGUUGCGAUUUAUGGGUUUGAGUGAGGGGGAGAUUGAGCUUUCUUUUUUUUGUCAGUCAACGACUGAUUAUGUGUUUUUGCUCUGUGAUAUUGUAUAAAUUGUGGGUAAUUUCCACAGAUUUCCUAUUCACAACACGUUGAAAUUCUGAAUGUUUUUAGUGAUACACGUCAGGGAUCCUGUAAUUAUGAUCCUGCAAAUAUCUUUACUACUGAAACUCUUCAUUUUGCUAGCUUUAAUAGUGUGGUAAAUGUAUCCAGAACGAACAAUAAUCAUUGUGUGCUUGCUUUCAUUUGAGGUGUUCUCUCUACAUGCAUGUGACUACAGACAGAGUUCCCAGGUUCACAUUUGUAGCCCAGACCCAGAGUUUUGUUCCAACAAUUUGCACUGACAGUCAAAGAGAAGACUUCUUGAGAGACACGACAAACAUUGCUAUGGGCACGUGCGUGAUUAAAAAUGAUUAAAAACGGACAUUAUGAAGAUUUUGGAAUUGUUGUUCGAGUAAUUCUUUAGCAGAUCAAAUCUGUUGCACAGGCCUGUGUAUUGAUGCUGGGUGUAAUAUAUGUUCUUAAAGGAUUAGUUCACUUUCAAAUAAAAUUUGGUUGAAUUUCGGUUGAAGGUCAAAAUGAUAGUUUUAGUGCAGCUUCAAAGAGCUUUAAGCAAUACCUUACGCUGGUAUGUCCUACACCUUCCCUAUUGUACUUGUGGAACAACCGCCGCCAGUUCUGUUUUUUCUGUAGGUAGAAUAGGGAAGGAGUAGGACAUAUAACGUAAGCUUUUUGAAGAAUGCAGAAAUUCGGUUUUGGCGGAAGCAUGUGCAAGGCGUUCAUUUGUUUAUAUAAAUCAUAUACAGUUGUUUUUUUUUUGUUUUUUUUAGAAAAUGACCGCUUGUUUUUUCUAGAUAAGACCUUUAUUCCUUGUCUGAUAUCGUAUCGUACACUUUGAAGCUGCACUGAAACUGUAAUUUUGACCUUCAACUGUUUGGAGGCCAUUGAAGUCCACUAUAUGGAGAAAAAUCCUGUAAUGUUUUCUUCAAAAACCUUAAUUUCUUUUCGACUGAAGAAAGAAAGACAUGGACAUCUUGGAUGACAUGGGGGUGAGUAAAUUAUCAGGAAAAUUUUAUUUGAAAGUGAACUAAUCCUUUAAUUUGGCAUACCCAAAAGAACUCAAAUCCUGGAUCAUCAGAAAAUCUUAGAUUUGUAAAGUACCGCAGCAGUCUCUGAGGGGUUAAAUAUUUUUUACUAGCUGAAAUGAAUUAAAUUAAAUUUCUGAUAUCAAGAAUUUGAUUUCUUUGAGUAAUGAUGUCAUUGUAAGUCGCUUUGAAUAAAAAUGUCUGCUAAAUGAGUAAAUGUAAUUAGUAUGUUAUGAUGAAACCUCAUAACAAAUCAGAGAUGCUGGAUGCUAGUUUAUUUAUUUAUAUGCUCAUUUACUUAAAAAUAAAUAAAUAUAUUAAUAAGAACCAACCCCCUUAAUGUCUUAAGAUAUUACUAACAUGCUGCAUGAUGUUGCUUUAAUUGAUCUAAACUCAAAUACUGAGUUAUUUGACAGUCAGUCAAAAUGUGUACUUACAAAGCCAAAGACGCUCUCGUGAUGUGGCUCUUAAAAGAGCCUUUGGGUCUAUGUAGCUGCUGAAGACACAAGCGAAAGAAAAA